rnacentral:rRNA from 1 species
UAGCAUAUCAAUAAGCGGAGGAAAAGAAACCAACAGGGAUUGCCCUAGUAACGGCGAGUGAAGCGGCAACAGCUCAAAUUUGAAAUCUGGCUCUUUCAGGGCCCGAGUUGUACUUUGUAGAGGGUGCUUUGGCGUCGGCUGCGGUCUAAGUUCCUUGGAACAGGACGUCACAGAGGGUGAGAAUCCCGUAUGUGGCCGCGCGUCUUCGCCGUGUAAAGCCCCUUCGACGAGUCGAGUUGUUUGGGAAUGCAGCUCUAAAUGGGAGGUAAAUUUCUUCUAAAGCUAAAUACUGGCCAGAGACCGAUAGCGCACAAGUAGAGUGAUCGAAAGAUGAAAAGCACUUUGGAAAGAGAGUCAAAAAGCACGUGAAAUUGUUGAAAGGGAAGCGCUUGCAGCCAGACUUGCUCGCAGUUGCUCAUCCGGGCUCUCGCCCGGUGCACUCUUCUGCGGGCAGGCCAGCAUCAGUUCAGGCGGCCGGACAAAGACCUCUGUCACGUAUCUUCCUUCGGGAUGACCUUAUAGGGGAGGUGUAAUGCGGCCAGCCUGGAUUGAGGCCCGCGCAUCUGCUAGGAUGCUGGCGUAAUGGCUGUAAGCGGCCCGUCUUGAAACACGGACCAAGGAGUCUAACAUCUAUGCGAGUGUUUGGGUGUCAAGCCCGGGCGCGCAAUGAAAGUGAACGGAGGUGGGACCCCCUCGGGGCGCACCAUCGACCGAUCCUGAUGUCUUCGGAUGGAUUUGAGUAAGAGCAUAGCUGUUGGGACCCGAAAGAUGGUGAACUAUGCCUGAAUAGGGUGAAGCCAGAGGAAACUCUGGUGGAGGCUCGCAGCGGUUCUGACGUGCAAAUCGAUCGUCAAAUUUGGGCAUAGGGGCGAAAGACUAAUCGAACUAUCUAGUAGCUGG